ACACAGCCAGUUUUAUUGAUAAUAUCCUUGGCUUAAAUAGCCAUUCAAUAUACUAUUUUAACAAGAAAACAGCCCACUUUGGCGAAAAUAAAGCCAAGUGGGUCAAAUACUAGUAGACUUCCUGAAGACUAUGGCUUUCCCUGAAAACCAGAGAAUUAUUCUAAGAAAAAAAUGCAAUAAACUCCUUCAUUUCUAUCAUAGAACGAUUGAUUUUUCUGAUGGAUGAUCGAAAUUCAUCAAUUGUUUAAUUUUUCUUAUAAAUUUCUAGGUUCCCAGGUUCGACCACCUUUAUCCUUUGGAGAGAAUGAUUUUGUGAUUCAGUUGACAUUAAUUGAAGUGAUUUUAUUUUUUUUGUCAGGUUUCGAAAUAAAAAGUAAUUUUCCUAAAUUUGUUGUAAUUUUUUUUGAGGACAAUGAAAUUGCAUUAAGUUCUGCGUUAUUUAUAUACUUUUUUUUUUUUUUUUUUGGGUGCAUGCGUGUGUGUGUGUGUUUUGUGGGGGUAAGAUGAGUGUAGAAGGAAGAGACAAGGGGCAGAAAAGGAUAGAAGAUGAGGAGGAAAUAGAUGUGGAAAGAAGGCAAAGAAGGGACAAAACAAAAUUGAAGAGGCAGAGAACGAACAAAGUUGAAAGCUCUCAUAAGCAUUCCAAAUGCCAUUCUCAUACAGGAAUACGGUGUUUGUGAUGGUGCCAGAGGAAGCAUCCACAUGCUACUACAUGAGGCAGUGGAGAGAGGAUAAUAGCAUUUAUGGAAAGUCAGAGCAUGAUUAAUCCCAAAACACCUCUAUUGAAUGGAGCAUAUGCUUAUGGAGUUGUGGAGCGUCCAUUCCCACUAAAUUGCUUCCUAAAAAAUUGAUGGCAACCAAUUAUUAGAAUAUCAGAAAAAGUUGGUUCUCCCCAAGCUUCUCGGAUAUCUAAUAGAAAAGUAGAAGGUGCUAUGCCAAGCUUAUAUUGGAAUGGUGAAAGGAUGUCUGCUGAACCUGAAAAGACUAGUACUAAGCUUUGUUAUGGUGGACUUGACAAGGGUGGCUGUGAAUUGAGCUUAGGAAGUACAGAAGCUGAUAAACGUUAUUAUGAUGAAAAUGAAAGUUAUUUGAUGGGUAGAGAAGGUGCUGGAAAUAGUAGAGUUCCAACAGAAGGGGAAGAGAUGCCAUGUAAACAAGCUGGAAAUUAAAGACAGUCUAAAUGAUCUUUUGGAUGACAUAAAAGAAGCUGGUACUGGCACAGAGGAACAAAACCUGAGUGCUGCGAAGGGAAGGUCAAUUGGAAAGGGUCUUAGAAAGAAAAGUUAAAGAGCACUUUUUGUUAGAGGUAUGCCUGUAAAUGUUUUCAAACUAUGAACUAUCUGUCUUCUUUUCUUUGGCAUUUUCUCCCUCUGCAAAAUGGUGUCUCUAUCUGUGUUCAUUUCUGUAACUGGUCGUUAUGUAGCUCAUCAAUUGUCUCAGUGCUAUUAAAAAGGCUAUAAUCUGGUCCAUGGAUUUUUACUUAGUAUUUUAGAAAGUUUUGAAAAGUAAUAAUUGGUCACUCUUCACUGAUCAGUUUGAUUGUUUCACCUUUUGCGUUGAUCACUCUGUCCUCCAUUUGUGGAAGCUGUUUGGAUUUUCCUUAUAAUUUGUUGCGACUCUUUUCUUCAUAUACAUGAGGACUCUCCCUUUGAAGCGUUGAAAACUCUGGCAGAUAUGUCCUUGAUGAUGCCAGAAACACCUACUGACCAUGCAUGUUUAUGGGUAUCAGAAAAUGCCAGCUUAUGGUUAGGCUUCUGGUGAUAUUAGUUCUCUUAUAUUUUUUUUGUCAUUUGAUCUUCUUAACUAUAAGUUGAUUCUAUUUUGCUUCAAUCUGAUAUCUUGUUGGUUUUUUGCAUCUGAAGAGCCAUCUGUACAGGACAAGGGAGAAAAUUUGAUGUUGUUAUCAAGUCUAAACUUAAAGGGAACCAUUCAGUUCUUGGGGUUGAAGACACUGCUUUCAGCUAAUCUGCGAAAGGCCAAGCUCACCAGUUUAAUGCUGGAAUCCAGAAAAGAAAACAAGUUGAAGACACUGCUUUCAGCUAAACUGCGAAUGGCCAACGAGGGAGCUCACCAGUUUAAUGCUGGAAUCCAGAAAAGAAAACAAAAGUCUUUUCCAUUUAAAAUACAUGAAAAUGAAGGUCAUCCGAGUGACAAUCAAAAGAUAGAGGUGUGUAAUUGUCAACCUAAAACAGAUGAGUGAUGACUACGGGAUUCUUCUUCUUCUUCUUCUUUUCUCCCCAAAAGGCCUCAUAUAUAGGGGAUAAACUUUUAGGCCUCUGGUGGGGAGAGAUAUAGUGCGACUUGCUUUAUUUGUUGUUCUAUUUACAGGUGAUCUGAGUAAAUAUCGCAUUCAUACUAAUAUUCCAUGUUAACUGUUAAGUUGGACAGUUCUAAUGCUUUUGCCUGUACGUAUGCCUAUCAAACUACGAGACUGGAAUUGAGUCUUCCAACAAUAAUGAACAGAAUUAAGGGGCAGCUGGGUUGACCAUGAGAAUACUUUCUCCUAUGCCUUGGGAUUUCUUAA